rnacentral:rRNA from 1 species
UCCUAGCCUUUUAAUUGGAGGCCUGCAUGAAUGGCUUGACGAGCGCCCUGCUGUCUCUCUUCUCAUGAACUUUUAAAUUAACUUUCGCGUGCAAAGGCGCGAAUGGCUGAGUUAGACGAAAAGACCCUAUGCAUCUUUACUGAGAGAGAAGAAAGUUCUUUAGCUUGGUUUAGCUGGGGCAGCUGAGGAAAAGGCAAAAUUUCCUUAAUAUAAAUCAUACUGGUGGGUUUAGAUCCAGGCUCUUUAGCGGGCUUGACAAGUAGAAAAGUUACGCUAGGGAUAACAGCGUUAUCCUUCUGUGGAGGUCUUAUCUGCAGGAGGGAUUGCGACCUCGAUGUUGAAUUAGGGAUAUACCAGAAAGGCGCAGAAGCUUUUAUUGUGGGUCUGUUCCACCCUUA